UACGUAGGGUCCGAGCGUUGUCCGGAUUUAUUGGGCGUAAAGAGCUCGUAGGCGGCUCAGUAAGUCGGAUGUGAAAACUCGGGGCUCAACCCCGAGACGCCAUCCGAUACUGCUGUGGCUUGAGUCUGGUAGGGGAACACGGAAUUCCUGGUGUAGCGGUGAAAUGCGCAGAUAUCAGGAGGAACACCGAUGGCGAAGGCAGUGUUCUGGGCCAGUACUGACGCUGAGGAGCGAAAGCGUGGGGAGCAAACAGG
rnacentral:rRNA from 1 species